GUUGGACAACCAUAGGCAAAACUGAAAUGGAACAGGGGCAGAAAAUAGCACACUUUUACUCUACGCAACUGUUGCUUUUUCAUGAUCUUCAGGAAUUUUACUGGGAUAAUUAUCCAAAUAAAUUGCAAGCAUUCUAUCCAAAUGGAGCUCUUUCUGAGAUGAAGAGAAUUCUCAAUGUCAAGAUUUGAACAAGAAGAGAAUGGAAUACACAAUAUGGACAUCCAUAAAAAUUCAUCAGAGAGCAUUUUACUACUGAGCUGCAAAGGGAAAAACUUAAAAUGGAUAUGAAAAGUGAAGAAAGUGAUCAUAGGAGAAAACCAUUUCAGAUGACAAGAGCACCUCAAAGGCAGCAGCCUCAAGGAGCAGCCAUGGCCCCAGACUUGUCGCACGGAUGCAGAAAACUUAAUGGAGGAGGCUGAGGAACUCUUCCAGACUCUGGGAAAUAUGUCUCCAAGAAAGCAGACAAUACCCCUGCCCUCUGUGGAAGACUGACAAAUAUACAAGUGCAUAUGUAUAUAUAGACUGUCAGAUGAUGUAAGUAUGAUGAAGAAAAUGAAAGCCAUGUAAUGGGUGAUGGAGCGGGGCAUAGAAAGGUGCCAUUUGCUAUUUUAUAGAAGUAGAUCAGGGAAGACCAUGUCAUGGUAGAUAUCUGAGCAGAGACCAUUCCAGGUGUGGGAGCAUGUCAGAGAGGUAUCCAGGGGCAACAGUUCCAGGCAGAGAAAGCAUGAAGAGCAAGGUGCCCAAGGCCAGAGCAUGUGUGCUUGGCAUUUUCCAGGAGCAGCAAGGAAUUUAGUGUGGCUGAAGGAGAAUGAGCAAGGGAGAAAGCAGCAGGAGAGUGCACAUGAAGCCCUGUGUGCCAUUACGAAGACUCUGCUUUUUUUUUUUUUUUGAGUCGGAGUCUUGCUCUUCCGCCCAGGCCGGAGUGCAGUGGCGCGAUCUCGG
rnacentral:lncRNA from 10 species